UGCCAGCCGCCGCGGUAAUACGGAGGGGGUUAGCGCUGUUCGGAAUUACUGGGCGUAAAGCGUACGUAGGCGGAUUAAUAAGUUAGAGGUGAAAUCCCAGGGCUCAACCCCGGAACUGCCUCUAAUACUGCUAGUCUUGAGUUCGAGAGAGGUGAGUGGAAUUCCGAGUGUAGAGGUGAAAUUCGUAGAUAUUCGGAGGAACACCAGUGGCGAAGGCGGCUCACUGGCUCGAUACUGACGCUGAGGUGCGAAAGCGUGGAGAGCAAACAAGAUUAGAUA
rnacentral:rRNA from 1 species